rnacentral:rRNA from 1 species
UACGUAGGGUGCAAGCGUUGCCCGGAUUUAUUGGGCGUAAAGGGCGCGUAGGCGGCUCUGCACGUUCGUUGUGAAAUCGCCCGGCUCAACUGGGCGGGGUCAGCGGAUACGGCAGAGCUUGAGCAAGCUAGGGGGCAAUGGAAUUCCCGGUGUAGUGGUGGAAUGCGUAGAUAUCAGGAGGAACACCGGUGGUGUAGACGGCUUUCUGGACCGUAACUGACGCUGAGACACGAAAGCGUGGGGAGCAAACAGG